rnacentral:rRNA from 1 species
ACUCAAAGGAAUUGACGGGGGCCCGCACAAGCGGUGGAGCAUGUGGUUCAAUUCGACGCAACGCGAAGAACCUUACCUGGGCUAGACAACGGCGGACCGUCCAUGAAAGUGGAUUUUCCCUUCGGGGACCGCCGGUUCAGGUGCUGCAUGGCUGUCGUCAGCUCGUGCCGUGAGGUGUUGGGUUAAGUCCCGCAACGAGCGCAACCCUCGCCCUUAGUUGCCACCAUUCAGUUGGGCACUCUAGGGGGACUGCCGGCGUUAAGCCGGAGGAAGGUGGGGACGACGUCAAGUCAUCAUGGCCCUAAUGUCCAGGGCCACACACGUGCUACAAUGGGCGGUACAAAGGGUCGCUAACCCGCGAGGGGGAGCCAAUCCCAAAAAGCCGCUCUCAGUUCGGAUUGGAGUCUGCAACUCGACUCCAUGAAGCUGGAAUCGCUAGUAAUCGCGGAUCAGAACGCCGCGGUGAAUACGUUCCCGGGCCUUGCACACACCGCCCGU